GGAGGAAGAGGAGGAGGAAGAUGACAACCUUGAUGAAGCUUUAUCUGGCUGCAUGGAGGAGCUGGGGAGGGGACCCCAUAGCCCAGCAGUGUCGGCGCCUCCUGUGCCUGGAGUGAGCUCGCCUGCCACGCGGCUACCACUGAGCUGGCCCCACCUGGGACAACCCCCAGACAGCCGGAGGCAGCUGGGAGGGGUUGGAGACCCCCCCACACCUGACCCCAGCAGUGCCUGCCCUACAGCCCCUCUGGGC
rnacentral:lncRNA from 1 species